AUUGAACGCUGGCGGCAUGCCUUACACAUGCAAGUCGAACGGCAGCACGGGAGCAAUCCUGGUGGCGAGUGGCGAACGGGUGAGUAAUAUAUCGGAACGUGCCCAGUCGUGGGGAUAACGUAGCGAAAGCUACGCUAAUACCGCAUACGAUCUAUGGAUGAAAGCGGGGGGAUCGCAAGACCUCGCGCGAUUGGAGCGGCCGAUAUCAGAUUAGGUAGUUGGUGAGGUAAAGGACUCACCAAGCCGACGAUCUGUAGCUGGUCUGAGAGGACGACCAGCCACACUGGGACUGAGACACGGCCCAGACUCCUACGGGAGGCAGCAGUGGGGAAUUUUGGACAAUGGGCGCAAGCCUGAUCCAGCAAUGCCGCGUGCAGGAUGAAGGCCUCGGUUGUAACG
rnacentral:rRNA from 1 species